AGAAAAAAAAGAGAAGAGGUGAGCCAGCCCGCUAGGAUUGGGGCACCCAUUGCACCGUCUUCGAAAAAGCGUGGAGCUCCAUGUGAAGUCGGGUUGCCUGAUGACGUUAUCCUGGGGAAUGAGAAAAGAAAAGGUC